rnacentral:lncRNA from 1 species
CGGAUCGGUUAGCUCAGAAGGGGAGCUUACGGGUGGCACAGCGCCAGAUCACCCCAGAGACUGAACUUAUCGCCUCCCCCCGGGGCCGGGCCGGGCCUUGCCUUGCCUUCCCCUGAAGUGCUGCCCGCUCAGGUACCGCAGCACGGCCACGUUCAGCUUCCCCAUGGCGGCCGCACCCUCACCCUCAGCGCAAGCCUGACGGGCCUCACGCGGACACACCGCGCAUGCGCAUCCCCCCUCCCCCGCUCUACUGCUCCGCCCGAACCGGCGGAGCCCGUUUUGGGUCCUGGCAGCUGCAUAUAGACGCGUGUCCUCGGAUGGAUCUUCGCACACGGAGCUGGUAACAAGGUCACUAACGACUCAAAAUCGAGAGAGCAUAAGUCUCUACCCCUUGGUGAUGGCUUAACACCUCGCUCUACUCUAAAGGAGUUAAUUGAGUUGCGUGUGCAUCUGCCCAGACCGACUCCAGUGGGAACACCACCCACGGCACGAACCAUCGAGAGAACUGCCCCCGGCUGCAACUGCGCCUGCGCGGCGCCCGGCCACAGCCAUGGGGCUGUGUGGGGGAAGGCUCCCAGUGCGCCUGCGCCUGGCAGCCCCGCUCAGUGCGCACGCAGAGGGGAGUGGGGGCGGGCCGUUUCGAGCCCCGGAGGCUGCGUGUUCGAGUCCCGGGAGCGGCGUGCUCGAGCUCCAGGAGCCGCCGGUUCGAAUCCUUGCGGCGGACACAGGCCGUGAAGUGCGGCCUUUGCUGAGGAAUCCCGUUAUUGUUAUAAAGACAGGUAUGUUUCUGCAAAGUAGGUAAGAUUUUUAAAAUGAGUUUGUUUUGGCAUGUGGUUUUCAUGGAAAUACAGACCUGGGUCUGUAUUCUGGAGUGGCUCUUCAGGGGUCACCCAAACACACCAUGAAUAUUAUUUACCAGUAAAACAGCUUGACCAUGGCAACUGCCAGGUGCCCACCCAGCCUCCUCUAACCUCCCACACCCUCUCCUUGACAGGGCAGGGUGGAAAAGCUCAUGGACCGCGAUGAGAACAUGGGGAUCACUUACCAGUUACCAUCGUGGGAAAAAAAAAAAAAAAAAUUUUAGUUUGUUGCCUAUUAAAAAUAGAGUGGGAUGGUGAGAAACAAAACAAAACCAGCUUCCCCUCACCCCCUCCUUCUUUCCAGGCU